UACGGAGGGGGCUAGCGUUGUUCGGAAUUACUGGGCGUAAAGCGCACGUAGGCGGCUUUGUAAGUUAGAGGUGAAAGCCCGGGGCUCAACUCCGGAAUUGCCUUUAAGGCUGCAUCGCUCGAAUUGUGGAGAGGUAAGUGGAAUUCCGAGUGUAGAGGUGAAAUUCGUAGAUAUUCGGAAGAACACCAGUGGCGAAGGCGACUUACUGGACACAUAUUGACGCUGAGGUGCGAAAGCGUGGGGAGCAAACAGG
rnacentral:rRNA from 1 species